rnacentral:rRNA from 1 species
CCUACGGGAGGCUGCAGUGAGGAAUAUUGGUCAAUGGGCGAAAGCCUGAACCAGCCAAGUCGCGUGAGGGAAGAAGGCCCUACGUGUGGUAAACCGCUUUUGCACGGGAGUAAUACCGUCCACUUGUGCAGCACUGCGUGUACCGUGAGAAAAAGCCGCGGCUAAUUCCGUGCCAGCAGCCGCGGUAAUACGGAGGGGACGAGCGUUAUCCGGAUUCAUUGGGAUAAAAGGGAGCGUAGGCGGGGGUGCAAGUCAGCGGUAAAAUCGCGGGGCUCAACCGCGCACCGCUGUUGAAACUGGACACCUUGAGUGCACGAGAGGCAGGCGGAAUUCGUGGUGUAGCGGUGAAAUGCAUAGAUAUCACGAGGAACCCCGAUGGCGAAGGCAGCCUACCGGAGUGCAACUGACGCUGAGGCUCGAAGGCGUGGGUAUCAAACAGGAUUAGAUACCCCGGUAGUC